rnacentral:rRNA from 1 species
UUCGCAAUGCCCGAAAGGGUGACGAAGCGACGCCGCGUGUGGGAAGAAGGCCUUCGGGUUGUAAACCACUGUCGGGAGUUAAGAAAUGCAAGGAUAUGAAUAGUGUCUUUGCUUGACUAAGGCUCCGGAGGAAGCCACGGCUAACUCUGUGCCAGCAGCCGCGGUAAUACAGAGGCGGCAAGCGUUGUUCGGAAUUAUUGGGCGUAAAGAGCACGUAGGCGGCUAUGUAAGUCGGUUGUGAAAGCCUUCCGCUCAACGGGAGAACAGCAUCCGAUACUACAUGGCUUGAGUGCGGGAGGGGAGAGUGGAACUUCUGGUGGAGCGGUGAGAUGCGUAGAUAUCAGAAGGAACGCCGGCGGCGAAAGCGGCUCUCUGGCCCAUAACUGACGCUGAGUGUGCGAAAGCUAGGGGAGCAAACGGGAUUAGAUACCCCGGUAGUCCUAGCCGUAAACGAUGGGCACUAAGUAGAGGGGUUUU